rnacentral:rRNA from 1 species
UACGGGGGGAGCAAGCGUUGUUCGGAUUUACUGGGCGUAAAGGGCGCGUAGGCGGCCAGCACAAGUCAGUUGUGAAAUCUCCGGGCUUAACUCGGAAAGGUCAACUGAUACUGUGCGGCUAGAGUGCAGAAGGGGCAACUGGAAUUCUCGGUGUAGCGGUAGAAAUGCGUAGAUAUCGAGAGGAACACCUGCGGCGAAGGCGGGUUGCUGGGCUGACACUGACGCUGAUGCGCGAAAGCCAGGGGAGCGAACGGG